rnacentral:rRNA from 1 species
GACAGAGGGUGCAAACGUUGUUCGGAAUUACUGGGCGUAAAGCGAGUGUAGGCGGUUUGGUAAGUCGGAUGUGAAAGCCCCGGGCUCAACCCGGGAAGUGCACUCGAUACUACCAAGCUAGAGUAUCGGAGAGGUUGGUGGAAUUCUCGGUGUAGAGGUGAAAUUCGUAGAUAUCGAGAGGAACACCGGUGGCGAAGGCGGCCAACUGGACGAAUACUGACGCUGAGACUCGAACGAGCAGUGGGA